rnacentral:snRNA from 1 species
AUCACUUCUUGGCCCUUGGGCUAAGAUCAAGUGUAGUAUCUGUUCUUAUCAGUUUAAUAUCUGACACGUCCUCGAUGAGAGGACUUUAUAUUAAACGGAUUUUUGGGCUUGGGAGUUGGAUCCGAAGCUUGCUCCCUCCGCUCCAUGAAAUUUUUCUUUUUUUUUUAUUUGACCUUGA